UACAGAGGAUGCAAGCGUUAUCCGGAAUGAUUGGGCGUAAAGCGUCUGUAGGUGGCUUUUUAAGUCCGCCGUCAAAUCCCAGGGCUCAACUCUGGACAGGCGGUGGAAACUACCAAGCUGGAGUACGGUAGGGGCAGAGGGAAUUUCCGGUGGAGCGGUGAAAUGCGUAGAUAUCGGGAAGAACACCCGUGGCUAAGGCGGCUCUCUAGUACGGUACUGACGCUGAGACGCGAAAGCGUGGGGAGCGAACAGG
rnacentral:rRNA from 1 species